UAAUUAAAAGAGAGAGAGGGGGUGGGGUAGCGAGCUCCUCUGAGGAAUGAUGGGGUGAUGUGGCAGUAGCGCGUCUCAGGGGACCCGUGCCUAAAGGCUCAAGUUAGAAUCGAUGGACUAUAGUACAUGGUUAAUUAAAGACGUAUUAAAAGCUUCUUUUACUGCUAUGCUUUUAACUUAUUUUUAUAUCAUUGAAGUUCGAUCUCGCGUAAUUGUCACGUAACUAUAUAAUGACCACAGGUUUUUGCCUACAGCAAAAUAUCAGUAAAUUACCUCUUGAAAUUCGUUAAAUAAUGAUUAACUAGAUCCUUUGGAAAUCGGGAGAAAUUACGGUCCCUCGUUUCACUUCGAACUGCUGAAUGCUGGAGCACUUCGGUGCUGUGUGCAAUUUUCCCAUCAUGGCAGUAUACAUAACUACCAUAUUUUUUUAAUGAGUUAUAUAUGCCUUGUGUGACAAAAACGUUUGAGAACCACUCAGCUAGACUAUGGGCUAUGGAUACUUGCUAGCUGGCUAAAGAGUCCUCUGCUUCACCAACCAGAGCUAACUGACAAUGUAAAGGCAGCGGUAGUCUCCCGUCAUGACUCAUCUGCAGUUACAGCAACAACAAGAAGUAAUUUUUCCUCCAUCUGCUCUUGCCUUGCAGGCUGCAACUCAUUGCCCUGGUCCCCCUUCCCCUUUUUGUUUAAGCUGUUUAUAUCCAUAGCCUCAGACUCAGGUCUGGCUCGCAACUACUAAUCAACAAGCUCUCUCGCUCACACGUGUGCGCGGGCCAGGAUACACACCUUGACUGUCGCCUGGUACCACUGGCACUGCCUGACUGCAGCCUGACUGAUGCAUGACCGACUGGCGAGUGGUGAAUGGCCGUGAAUACGUGAUAAGAACGUGAACCGGACGGGAACAAACCGUAUGAGAUCUAUGAAAUCUAAUUUCUUGUACAAACAGCUUAACAAGAGUUAACAGUCUGUAUUGGCCUUGCUGGGACUAUUCUUAAAAAAAACUGAGAUCCGGGCUAUUUAUAAAACAUUCGGGGCUAUAGCCCCGAAAGCCUAGGCCUAACUACGCCACUGAUAUCCAGACUAUUUUCAAAGAAGUAUAUCACAAAUGUUUAAUGAGCAUUGCUGCAAAAAUUGGCCACCUGUCCAUUUCUUGUCACCUACUUAAACAACCGCUCUCUGUUGUCAUGUAUAUCUUAUUAACCUUCAAGACUCCUUAAGGCACACAACGAGGUCAAAGUGUCAUAUUACUCCAAUCGUCAUGAAACUUUUAUGGUUUGAGUGCAGUACUUUACUGAUCAUUCACCUACAAUAUCAAGUUGAUAUCUUAAAAGAAAAAAAAAUCACUUUUUAUGUCAAUUUACUACCCAUUUAAAAUGGGGUGAGUUUCUGUGUUUUUAAUCCGAUUUUUGUUUUCUUUAUAUAGCAUUAAAGAAUGAACAUUCCUCUACUUCUCCAAGUUAGAUAAUCCAUGGAUUCGAAAAAUAAUAGUACUUAUGAAUUUUUUGUUAAUGUACUCAUUUUCCACUAUUUUUAAUGUUUCCAUCCUCCUUGUGACCAACCAAUACAAUCUAGAAGGAAAAUCUAACUACCAAAUGUUGCUGUUUUACUACUCUAUCCAAAACUGCAAACAGAUUUAAGAUCGGUUAAAAACUUUCAAAUCUCAGGAAUUUUGAGGUUAAGGCAAUGCACUUUUGAGAUACGGGCAUUUAAAGUUACGUAAGUACAUACUGAUGUUCCUCGUCCAUGAAUGGCCACACUAUGCCGAAUAUUGUUAGUACCAGGUAUUGUAAUGUUGCUGUCUUGUUAUUUAGGUGAUCUUGAGUCAUGAACAUGGCACCUGAACCCACUUCUUGUUGAAGUAUUACUCACUCAAAGGUGAGGAUGUCAGGGAGCCGCCGACUCCCUCAUUGUUGCCAGUUUUUGUUUGCAUCACUUGGUGUAAGAAACUAUCUGGCUCGUAGGAUUUGCUUCCUUCCUUUUCUGUUUUAAUCGUCUUUCUUGGUUAUGAUGAUCUGUCAGAAGCUCUGUCUUUCCUUGUCUUGUAUUCGUUUUCAUACUUUUUGUUUUUAUGUUGUAUGGUGAGAUGGGCUCUUAUCUCUUGAAACUGAAGUAGAAGGCUGUGGUAAUGGUGGUGUUGAUGCAGAAGCAUCAGGAACAGCAGUCGUGGCAGCAGGGAGCGAGUGAGAAGUGGUGGCGAGUCAAGCCUCCCUGCUCCGUGUGGAACGCCUGUCUGUCUCUCUUCAUUAUCUACUCGACCAUGGCGUGCCUUCUUCAAGCAGGCAAUCCUCUUGACAAAGGCAGCCUUUCUUCUUGGCAUUUGGACUGGAUGAAGCCAGUAUCAUCAGUAAUUUUGUCAUAAGAGGAAAAAAAAGGCAGUGUGGGGGUAGAGCGUACACACCUAUGUCCAUCCUCUGCGUCACAAGGACACGCACUAAUGAAUUCUAGUGAGACCUACGAGAGAGUAUUGUCCCGCGCGCACAGAAGAAAGUAUCAGACACCACCAGAGAGAAAACUAUUCGUGUCUAAAUACUAGUGUUUUUCCUACAAUUUUUUUUCUAAAGGUAUCAUCUGCCUCACGUGACCUUGACUGAGCGCGCGGGGUGAUUUAAACGGCGAUUUAAAUGCCUAUUUAAACUCGGUCGGUAAAAAUUCUUCCCGUAAUGUUUUCUCUAUGCCUUUAGGGUGACCAUUGACGAAAUUUCUCAUUUUCGAUAAUUUUUGCAUUUUUCACCUGAGUCGUUUGCCUUAAAAACCAAAGAAGAGAAUGUAGAAAUCAAAACAAGUGUGAAAAUAGCCAUGUAAUGUGUGUGGGAACCCUCACUACCGAGGGCAGCGGAGUAACCAAUUCCGAUGAAAUGUGGAGACACAGGGAGGUCAAGGGGGGCGAGGCCCCUCCAUUAGGAGGUUAAUGUGUAUUGACCUGUCUUUUAGUUGCCCUAAGAAGGGCUGGGGGGAAUGAAGCCCCCUAUUGGAUUUUAGCUGUGGUGAGCCGCAGGUUUCAGAUGCCACUGGACGUUGCGAGCUGCCUGCAGCUGCUUGGGUUCCCACACACAUUUCAUGGCAAUUCUAAUAUUUAAAGAAUAAAAUAACAUAAAACACUAAAAACUGCUUUAGUUUAAGGUACUUGUGUGUUUUUGUUUUCACUCGAUUUACGCGAGUUUGGUUUACGUGUUUUUUUAAAUAACGCGGGGUCCAAAAUCCAAAUAAAUGUCUAAUUUACAUGUUUUUUUCACUUAUACACGAUAUUUUGUGAAGUUGCCACCAGACGUCUCACGCAACUGGACUCACACGGCGCCGUGGCCACACAGCUGAGUUCAGUUCUUCCCGCGCACCACUUGAACAACAAUACAGUACCCACGCUGCCACGCUACUCAACAAUAGGGGUGGGCAGGUAACGGUACCAGCUCUCUCUUUCUCUCUCUCUCUCUCUCUCUCUCUCUCUCCACUGAAUGAAGUGAAUAUUAAUUUUUCAAUAGAAAUCUACCUCUUGUUUGAUUUACGCGACCUCUUCAAGGACACAAUAUUCGCGUAUAUCGAGUUACCUGUAUUCAUCUCAGUCUCUUCAAUCCGAGGCCACACAUAGCUAUAGCAUAUGGUACCGGUACCAAUACUAUCCAGUCGCUCAUGGUGUCCCUCAUUUCUUCCUCACACGAGUGAGGCUGAGACCGAGUGCCUGAGUGGAUAUCUCGGUGAUAUGGAUAUUCUCUCUCUCUCUCUCUCUCUCUCUCUCUCUCUCUCUCUCUCUCUCUCUCUCUCUCCACUGAAUGAAGUGAAUAUUAAUUUUUCAAUAGAAAUCUACCUCUUGUUUGAUUUACGCGACCUCUUCAAGGACACACUAUUCGCGUAUAUCGAGUUAACUGUAUUCAUCUCAGUCUCUUCAAUCCGAGGCCACACAUAGCUAUAGCAUAUGCCGCAAAACUUGCUUCUGAACACUAAAAAAUUCAAAUGAUCUUUGUUGAAUUAUAUUUUGUUCUUGUGCUUUAGUUUAGGAUAUUUUGUUGACAUUAAUCACUUUUUAAGCAUUUAAGUAAAACAUCUAAAAUUAGUUUUGUAUACUGAUUUUCCUACAGAACACAUAGGACUAACAUGAUGCUGAUGAUGGUGGUGGUGACAAUGCAAAUGCGGCUUAUGGAGGUGGGAGAGUCUACAGUGCUGUGCCUCCACCAUUCCCUGUCAAAUACGAUAAGGUGAAGGAAAGAGAGAGACAGGAGCACAUCCUGCACAAGCUGGCACUCUCUUGGGUUAGGAGACAGCUUCGUGAAGGAAGCCGCUAACCAAAACCCACCCGGUUACCCUGACAUGGGGGAGAAGGACUGCAUGGAUUCCUCCAACAGAGAAGAAGAGAACAUUUGCUCAACAUCAAGCAGGGGAGUAAGCAGGUGUCAGGAUUAUUACUCAGCUACUCUAGAUGGCCCAAGAUAAAGCAAGUCAAACUGACAAAAUUUGUGGGGCUAAAGUGAGUUACUAAUAUAAUGGGGCUAGGUUACAAAUGUUUCUACAGGUUAAUUAAUAUCAUAGAUAGAUUACAUUAGGUUGGUCAGUUAAUAAGUAUUUCUUUGAUAGUCACUGUGCCUACUCCUUUCUGGGGGAAAAAAGGGUAUCAAUAUACUAUCAAAUGAUUUACUCUGCUGUUUGUCAUUUCUUCUGAUAUCUUUUGGUAUGUUAUUCAUCAACUUGUGCCAUCACUGAGUAGAAAUUGUUAAGCAAAUAUUUUAGGGUCAAUAAUAAAGUUCUUUGCAAUUUAAUUUAUUAUUCACCAAAAUAAAUCGUUGCACCCAUUAAAACAUUCAUUUUUUUCUGAUCACGAUCAGUUACUAUAAUCUUCCAUUCAGUGGCAUAUCUAGGAUUUUUCCUACAGGGGGCAAACACUUGAAAAAUUUCCCCAAAACAUUUGGCACCAGAAGUAGCGCUCUUGAAUGUUAAAUUCUACCAGAAAAAAAGGAAGGAGGAAGGGAAGGUUGAGUUAGAGGAAGGGGAAGGAAAAAAGGAGGAAGGGAAGGGAGGAAGGGAAGGGAAGGGAAGGGAGGAAGGGAAGGUUGACUUAGGGAAGGGAAAGGAAGAAAGGAGGAAGGGAAGGGAAGGAAAGGUUGAGUUAGGGGAAGGGGAAGGAAGAAAUUGGGAAGGGAAGGGAAGGUUGACUUAGGAAGGAGAAGGGAAGAAAGGAAGAAGGGGAGUUUAAGUUAGGGGAAGGGGAAGGAAGAAAGGAGAGAGGGAAGGUUGACUUAGGGGAAGGAGAAGGAAAAAAGAAGGAAGGGAAGGUUGAGUUAAGGGAAGGGGAAGGAAGAAAGGAGGAAGGGAAGGUUAAGGGAAGGGGAAGGAAGAAAGGAGGAAGGGAAGGUUGAGUUAAGGGAAGGGGAAGGAAGAAAGGAGGAAGGGAAGGUUGAGUUAGGGGAAGGGGAAGGAAGAAAGGAGGAAGGGAAGGUUGAGUUAGGGGAAGGGGAAGGAAGAAAGGAGGAAGGGAAGGUUGAGUUAGGGGAAGGGGAAGGAAGAAAGGAGGAAGGGAAGGGGAAGGGAGGAAGGGAAGGUUGAGUUAGGGGAAGGGGAAGGAAGAAAGGAGGAAGGGAAGGGAAAGGAAAGUUGAGUUAGGGGAAGGGGAAGGAAGAAAGGAGGAAGGGAAGGGAAGGGAAGGUUGAGUUAGGGGAAGGGGAAGGAAGAAAGGAGGAAGGGAAGGGAAGGGAAGGUUGAGUUAGGGGAAGGGGAAGGAAGAAAGGAGGAAGGGAAGGGAAGGGAAGGUUGAGUUAGGGGAAGGGGAAGGAAGAAAGGAGGAAGGGAAGGGAAGGGAAGGUUGAGUUAGGGGAAGGGGAAGGAAGAAAGGAGGAAGGGAAGGGAAGGGAAGGGAAGGUUGAGUUAGGGGAAGGGGAAGGAAGAAAGGAGGAAGGGAAGGGAAGGGAAGGUUGAGUUAGGGGAAGGGGAAGGAAGAAAGGAGGAAGGGAAGGGAAGGGAAGGUUGAGUUAGGGGAAGGGGAAGGAAGAAAGGAGGAAGGGAAGGGAAGGGAAGGUUGAGUUAGGGGAAGGAAGAAAGGAGGAAUGGAAGGAAAGGGAAGGUUGAGUUAGGGGAAGGGGAAGGAAGAAAGGAGGAAGGGAAGGGAAAGGAAGGUUGAGUUAGGGGAAGGGGAAGGAAGAAAGGAGGAAGGGAAGGGAGGGUUGAGUUAGGGGAAGGGGAAGGAAGAAAGGAGGAAGGGAAGGGAAGGGAAGGUUGAGUUAGGGGAAGGGAAAGGAAGAAAACAGUGUUUAGAAGUUAUGUCAAAAAGAGCAAUCAAAAUCUGUUCCAGCAUUCCCCAAAAAUUUCCACAUAAAUUUCCCAGGGGGGGGCAGUCUGACCCCCCCUGCCCCCACCUCUGGCUACGUCACUGCUUCCAAUGUUUGCUCUUCUCACAAGAAAGGAGAGGAAGUCUAUGUUUACUAAAGUCUAUCCAUUACAUGCUGAUGCAGCUUAUGAACUGUCACAAACUAUAAUAGUUAUAAUACAACUUUUGCACCAUCACUGUGAAGCAGAGGAAGUCUAAUUCCCACCACAGCACAAAGCUUAUCCUAUUAACUCAGAGGUAAGUAGUAGAGGAAGUCUCAGUUUGCUAACUAGUUAACACCAUGGUAGGCUUUGUUGAUAAUGACACCCACUGGAAAAAAAAUUCAUGCAGCUUUUCACUUCUCGUUACCACAUUUCAUUGCUAUAUUCACACUUAUUUUGCUUUCUACAUUCUAUUCCAUGGCUUUUCGAAAGUCUUGAGAGCUAGUAAGUCACAUGACAACAGAAGCAGUUGGUCGAGUAGGAAACAAGGGAAGAGUGCAUAAAGUAAAUCAACCCAGCAGCUUUCAUAGUUGCAAAGGUGAUGCCGGGGCACCUGUGUUCCACCUGGGUGGCCAACACUAUUGACUCUUCGUUGCAACAAUUCGGCUUCCUUGUGAAGGCAGCUGGCGUGGCAGGAAGACAGGGCCUGAUGGGAGCACCGCACGGGGCGGGGAAUGUGGCGAGCCAGAGGUUGGGCUUGUUGAUGUCAGUAAGUUGUCGACAAGCAAGGAUAAUACAUAUCAUCCUAAACAAUCAAGCUAAUAUGUUUGUAAAUAAGCUUAUUAAUGCCAUAAGAUCUUAAAUCUUUGUCGUAUAGGCUUCGUUAAGAAGCUGUAACCAAAAACAACCAAGCUGCGACAUGGCAAAAGUAUUGCCGCUCGUGCUUUUACAUGAGAGAAGAAUCCAGCUCCUAGCAUUAAAGUUAAAAGCUACUGCUAGAAGGAAAACAGCUUCUAGAAGCACUUCUAAAAGUACUGCUAGCAGUCUUUAUUACUACCGCCCCAGGUGUGGGUACAAGUAAUGGCCCUUGCCAAGCACACCCAGACCCAGAACACUUUGCCAACAGUGACUGGGGAAGAGCACCACACCCAGCAUGAAGAGUGUCAGGCAAACCAGGCCACCAGCCCUGGUGUGGGUACAAGUAAUGGCCCUUGCCAGGCACACCCAUACCCAGAACACUUUGCCAACAGUGACUAGGGAAGAGCACCACACCCAGAACUUUCCUCUUAAAUUUUUAAAAUUGUAUACACUCUGCAACCAGCCCUGGAUUCCCUAUCUGGGCCAUGUGUUGUUUUCCAUGCAAGACAAUGCCCCCUCCAGCACCUCCUCUUUCCCACACACAGCAGCACAACACAGCACCUCAGAGGUGAGUCUUCAUGUGUCUCACAAUCUCACCUCAUGUCAUAAAUUGCUUGCCACAAGCAUCACAUUGGAACCCUUUGUGGCCACAGUGUCUUAAGCUAUGUCUCUUCAGCCAUGACUUCACAAGGAAUCUUUUCCCACAAACUUCACAUUCAUGUUUUUUUUUUCACUAGUGUGUGUACGGGUGUGUCUCUGGAGGUUACUCUUCUGAGUGAAGCUUUUCCCACAAACUUCACAUUCAUGUUUUUUUUCACCAGUGUGUGUAAGGGUGUGUGUCUGGAGGUUACACUUCAGAUUAAAUCUUUUCUCACAAAAUUCACAUUCAUGGUUUCUUUCACCAGUGUGUGUAAGGGUGUGUGUCUGGAGGUUACCCUUUCGAGUGAAAGUUUUCCCACAAACUUCACAUUUAUGGUUCCUUUCACCAGUGUGUGUAAGGGUGUGUUUCUUGAGGUCACCCUUCUGAUAGAAACUUUUCCCACAAACUUCACAUUCAUGUUUCUUUUCACCAGUGUGUGUAAGGGUGUGAGUCUGGAGGGUACCCUUUUGAAUAAAUUUUUUCCCACAAACUUCACAUCCAUGUUUCUUUUCACCAGUGUGUGUAAGGGUGUGUGUCUGGAGGGAACCCUUCUGAAUAAAUUUUUUCCCACAAACUUCACAUUCAUAUUUUCUUUCACCAGUGUGUGUAAGGGUGUGUCUCUUCAGGUCACCCUUCUGAUGGAAACUUUUCCCACAAACUUCACAUUCAUGCUUUUUUUCUCCAGUGUGUGUAAGGGUGUGUGUGUUGAUGUGAUCCUUCCCACCCAAUCUUUUCCUAUAAACUUGAGAUUCAUGAUUUCUUUCACCGGAGUGUGUGAGUGUUUUUCUUGAGGUCACCCUUCCCAGGGAGUCUUUCCUCAUACUCCUGGCACUCAUGGUGUCCCUCAGCAGUGUGUGCAAGGCUGUGUCUAAUGAACGUGCUCUCAGUCCCAAAUUGCCUUACAGUCCUUCCACUCAAACUUUCCCUUUCCUUAUGGCUGGAGAAGGCAGCAGCAGGGUGGUGGUGAUGGUGGUUCUUCUGAUCACCCCUGAUCCUCACACCAGUGGCAGUCUGCUCUGCUGCUCCUGGUCACUCAGGCUACUGCCCAGCCUUGCAGCCGAGGGGGCAGCAAGUCUUCCUCAACGCUACACUCAGGGACCAAGCAAGCAGGUGAGGGGAAGGAUGCCCCAAGGAGCAAGGACAGUGAGUGCUGACCACAGCAAGUGUCUCAGACCCUCACUUCAGCACCAGCGGUGGACGUCAGGGCACACACAUAGUCAGGUGCUGUCUUCUGGCCCUGUGCUGCCCACCUCAGACCCUCACUUCAGCACCAGCACCAGCGGUGGACAUCAGGACACACACACAGUCAGGUGCUGUCUUCUGAUCCUGUGCUGCCCACCUCAGACCCUCACUUCAGCACCAGCACCAGCGGUGGACGUCAGGACACACACACAGAGUCAGGUGCCAUCACUUAGCGCUGUCCUCCUCCCAGCAUGGCGGACACCACUACCUGGUUUGGUACACAAAGACAAACAU